CGGGGCGUGGCGCAGCCUGGCAAGCGCACUUGCUUUGGGAGCAAGGGGUCGUGAGUUCAAAUCUCACCGCCCCGACCC
rnacentral:tRNA from 1 species